AACUAUUGAUUAUAGUUCUCAUAUCCUCUUAAUUAAUAUUUUAUUUUAGAGCCGUCGGUACCAGCGACUGAUCAAGAUAAAGAGAUCGCGGAUAGUUAGCAUCUUCUAUCCUUUUUGUGUGUAGUUAGAUCACCUAUCAGUAUAUAUAGCAGUCUGUAUAAUAUUGUUGUAUCAUUUUGAGGACUGUUGUAGUGAUGAUUAUAUAUUUACAGUGUUGUUAUAGUAUAUAAUUUUUGUUUCACUCUGAUACAUUUUAUUGUUAGAUUUUUAGUUAACUUUUUUGGACAGAUUUUAUUGACGCUUCGUAUGUAUAAGGUGUGUCCUUAUGCAUACAGCGGAUAUGUUGACGUAAUCCGUACUUCCACUAUAAUCCGGGCGCGAGAAAAAAAAAAAUCUAUAAUUGCAACCUUUAUAUAUACA
rnacentral:lncRNA from 1 species